rnacentral:rRNA from 1 species
AGUGGCAUAAGCAAAAUAAAUCAAAACUUUCAGCAACGGAUCUCUUGGUUCUGGCAUCGAUGAAGAACGCAGCGAAAUGCGAUAAGUAAUGUGAAUUGCAGAAUUCAGUGAAUCAUCGAAUCUUUGAACGCACAUUGCGCCCGCCAGUACUCUGGCGGGCAUGCCUGUCCGAGCGUCAUUUCAACCCUCAGC